GCUGGGCGUGGUGGCGCAUGCCUGUAAUCCCAGCUACACGGGAGGCUGAGGCAGGAGAAUCGCUUGAACCAGGGAGUCGGAGGUUGCAGUGAGCUGAGAUCGCACCACUGCACUCCAGCCUGGCAACAGAGUGAGACUCUGUCUCAG
rnacentral:SRP_RNA from 2 species